rnacentral:rRNA from 1 species
AAUAAGCGGAGGAAAAGAAACUAACAAGGAUUCCCCUAGUAGCGGCGAGCGAAGCGGGAAGAGCUCAAAUUUAUAAUCUGGCACCUUCGGUGUCCGAGUUGUAAUCUCUAGAAGUGUUUUCCGCGUUGGACCGCACACAAGUCUGUUGGAAUACAGCGGCACAGUGGUGAGACCCCCGUUCAUGGUGCGGAUGCCCAAUGCUUUGUGAUACAUUUUCGAAGAGUCGAGUUGUUUGGGAAUGCAGCUCUAAAUGGGAGGUACAUUUCUUCUAAAGCUAAAUAUUGGCCAGAGACCGAUAGCGCACAAGUAGAGUGAUCGAAAGAUGAAAAGCACUUUGGAAAGAGAGUCAAACAGCACGUGAAAUUGUUAAAAGGGAAGCGCUUGCAGCCAGACUUGCUUACAGUUGCUCAUCCGGGCUUUUGCCCGGUGCACUCUUCUGUAGGCAGGCCAGCAUCAGUUUGGGCGGUAGGAUAAAGGUCUCUGUCACGUACCUCCUUUCGGGGAGGCCUUAUAGGGGAGACGACAUACUACCAGCCUGGACUGAGGUCCGCGCAUCUGCUAGGAUGCUGGCGUAAUGGCUGUAAGCGGCCCGUCUUGGAACACGGACCAAG